UAUGGAUGAAGAUGACAUUGAGACAUUAAAAAAUGAUACAUGAACUCCUGAAUUUAUUUGAACUGGACCAAAUGAAGGUCUGAACUCAGAGACUAGAGACUCACAUUUUCUUUGGGUCUGAACUCAAAGACUAAUUUCUUGUACAUUUGAGACUGAAUUGAGAGACUAGUACUUUUUACUUUGAUCUGGGUCUUAAUUUAAAGACUAGGGUUUUGGUGCGAUUUGUAUCUGACAUCCAAAAUUAAGCUAUGCGCAAUGUUGGGCCUGACUUUAAAAAUGGUCUAUUUUGCAUGAAGGGUCUGUAGGAAAGACUAAGACUAAUUUAUGCAUGAUAUUGUUUUUUGUCUGGUUUGAAUUACGAUAACUGGAAAUUUUUUAUUUUCAGUUUAGGCUUGACAAGAAGUCUGAAAGUAAAGACUAGAAAUGUAUUGCUUUGAAGAAAACCUAAGUAUGAUUCUGAUUUCAGAAUCAAUUUGUAAGCAAGGUUGGGCAAUUCAACCAUUAAUUAUUUUUCAUGGUUUAGAGUUGUAAAUUCUUCUGCGCACUGAAGGAGUAGAAUUUCUGGAUAGUUUGCAUUCAGUAAGUUUGUCAUACCCGUUCAAGUCAACGGCAAAUUAUUUAUGCAGGUUGAUGCUAACCUUUGAGUAUUUCAAUUUGAUUUGAAAGGAGUACAGGUAUAGUGUCCAGAAAUCGGAAGAAUUCAAGUGUUGUUUUUUUUGGCCUAUGAAAAUGACAAUUGGUCAAUAAGUUGUUUUUGUCAUUUUCAAUGUUCACUUGUGUGUAUAAGGAAGUCAUAGUUUUUUCAUGACUACAGGGCAAUCAGUGAAUUUACACCAGUUCGGAUCUCUAAGAAUUUGUAAAUGUGCUUGUGCUCAUUUAAAACGGUUUGAUAGGAAUUUAAUACUUACAUGUUAUUUCUUGAUAAUUGGUGACAUAGAUUACAUUCCAUCUGAUAUUCCAGACCAGUGGUCAGAACCUUGUUAUUUUUACUAAAAUGUGAAAAUUUACUUGUUGAAUGAUAUUCCAUAUAUUAAUUUGCAUACUUUGGCUUGAUGUAAUAUCAUGCAUGUAUAUAAUGUGAAGUACGUACUGUACAACUUUUUGAUCUCUGUGGAAUUUUUCGGUUAAUAACUGGCAAAGAAAUACCUAUAGAGGGUAAAUUAGUUUCAGUUUUUCAACUGAUUUAAAGGAGCCAUGUAGAUGACGUUGACUUGCUCAGAAAUUUGUCGCCCUCUAGUGGCAGCUGAUUUUUGGUUCGAUGGAGCAAGCUGAGUUUGUUUGAUACCGAAUGUUUUGAUUUGUCAAAAAUCGUAUUCUGAGGGAUAUUCAGUUCACAAAAGGGCACAGAGUUUUCACGGAGUUACAUGGAUGGAUACGGAGACGUAAAAUAAAGAUUGACAACUCCCGUAAAA